GUGCGUCGUAUGUAUUCCGAUUUCGCUACAAUCGCAGCACGGGUCGAUGCGAGGAUUUCAUAUCCUGCGGCUCAAGUACGGAUGGGUUCACUUCGAGAGAACUGUGCCUGCAGACUUGCAACGAGGAAUCGACUUGUUUGAAGAUAGGUUGGAGGCCAGGUGGAGGGAUUAGACCGUGGUACCACUAUGACUCUGAAGACGAUGAGUGCAUCGAAGAAACUGAUUCAUCUGCCUCUUCUUCAGACCUUUUUCCGGUACUAAACGUCUUCGAAAAUGAAAAAAGCGUGCCGAGUAGAAUGCAUGCCCACUUAUGAUCAAUGGGGCUAACAGGCUCCAGUUUUCAGCUCAUCCGCAACACAGCACUGCUGAAAAUAAAAUAUUAUAAUAAUAACAUUUAUGCCUA